CCCUUAGAUGUUCUGGGCCGCACGCGUGCUACACUGAGUGGAUCAGCGGGUCAGGUUGCGCGAAAGUGUUUCCUAAUCUUGAAAUCCGCUCGUGAUGGGGAUUGACGGUUGCAAUUUUCCGUCAUGAACGAGGAAUACCUUGUAAGCGCGGGUCAUCAUCCCGCGCUGAAUACGUCCCUGCCCUUUAUACACACCGCCCGUCGCUCCUACCGAUUGAGUGGUCCGGUGAGGCUUUGGGAUCUGAGCAAAAAGAGCGUUUCGCUCGUUUGGCUCGGAAAACUCAGUCGAACCUUAUCAUUUAGAGGAAGGAGAAGUCGUAACA
rnacentral:rRNA from 1 species